GUUAUUCUUUAUCUGGUUGGUGGUGGCAUGGAUACGUCACUCUGAAAAAAUGUUUUACUCUGUAUAUUUAAAAUUUAUGCAUUUUUAGAUAUGUUAUAAUGCAAUCACUGAAAGUGAGAAAUAACAGAGGGUAAUGGAAAUAUAGAAGUACUUUUGCUAUGGUGGAUAAAAUCAUCUGGGUGAGAAUACCAGCCCUGAUUCUCCAUAAUCAUGAGCAAAAAAAAAAACAAAACUAAUGGAAACUUGGAAAAAAUAUAGUUGGUCAACUUUUGUAAGGCACCAAUAUUCAUUUCUAUGCUAAGUUCUUAUUAAUCCCAGAAUUGCACAACGUUGUGGUGGAGAAAAAAUGUCUCCUAACCUGAAUGAUUUUCUUCAUAAAUCUUACUGAAGAGCCAAGGUAUGCACACCCAAAAUACAGAACAGUCUGAGUGGGUUUAUAUUAGACAUAAUUAUAUAGAAGAGAUUGUAAUGUACAGAUACAAUGAAAACAGAAUAAUCCAUAUCUGAGGAACAAGAGCAGAAUUCACAGGAUAUUGACUGGGGGCUCUGGUUGCAAAAUAUCACAGGAGUACAAUUUUUAGUUUGACCAGUAGGAUUUGCAUCUGGUCACAAGGCGCCCUUAGGGAAUAUUAGUUUGUCUGAUUGCAAUAGGGAAGUUCCAUUCUAUAUUGCUUUUUGUGGAUUCUUUAUAGCAUAUACAAUAGAUAAACUGAGCCACUCUUUAAAAAAAAAUUCACAAUUUACUUCCCUUGAACUCAGUGAAGAAGAAUUGGGGCUGAGUGGCAUAAGUGGUGGCUGAAAAAAUGUGCCUUGCCAUCUUGGUCACUCUGUAACAUCACUCUAUCUUCCCCAGGCUCCACAGAAUGGCACUGAGAGUUCAUUUAAAGCUGAAAAGACCAGAAGGUCAAACUUUAAAAGGACUCUUUUUUUCUUUAAAAGCACAAUUGUUGUUCAGUUUCUCUCAGGUGCAGAUUCAUUAGCUCUUGACUGGCUCUCCUUGUUUGUCGACUACUUGUGGAAAAAGCCAUUUACCCUGGUGAAUGUCAAGGUUAGUGCAAACCGUCCUUGCCAUCAGUCUCUCUGGCAGAAGGUCAGGGAUAAGCUUUCCUCAAAUGGGCAGCGUCAAACAAAGCACAGACAGACUUAACUCACCAAAAGAAAGAAAGGAGGCCUGCUCUGGGGUUGAUAAACAUUCUUGUGGGCUUUGAGGACAAAAGAUUAACUCCUCCUUUGCCACUUCAAGAAAUGCUCACUGGAAGAUGCCUUAUAAUAUCUGGAUAUUUUCGAGCAUGUGACAUAUGUUUAUAAAGUAAUAACUAUCUAUAUCCAUAUGUUUAUGCAUAUCCAUCUGCCUAUCUAUAUAUCUAUCUGUCAUCUUGUUUGUUUAAGCAAGUAUUGUAACUUUCAAAGUGUCCACUUUGGAAGUAUAUCCCAUUAUUCUAGGCUUGUUCUAGUUGAUUUUUUUUUGUAAUUUCUCCCUUCAGUCUACGUUGUAAAUCACACAAGGAAGAGCUGACACAGUCUGAAAUAGUUAGAUCUUAAUUUAUUUUCAUAGAAUAAUACAAUUUUGAAUUUGGAAGGAACCUCAAGACUAACCUAGUACAACCUUCCAUCCAACGAAUGAAACCUCUGCAGCAAUUCUGGCAGUUGUCACCCAGCCUCAAUUUGGUCACUCCUAAUGACAGAAACAUCCCUGACCCACCAGAAGACCAUAUUGAGGUAGGAAAGUGUUAUUGUUACAAAGAAAGCUUUUCCUUAUAUUUACUAAUAUCCAUCUCUUUGGAAAUGUAACCUUUUCUUGGACCAUGAAC
ensembl:lncRNA